GAUGAAGAACGUAGCGAAAUGCGAUAAGUAAUGUGAAUUGCAGAAUUCAGUGAAUCAUCGAAUCUUUGAACGCACCUUGCGCCCUUUGGCCAUUCCGAAGGGCAUGCCUGUUUGAGUAUCAUGAACACCUCAACUCUUUAUGGUUUUCCAUGAUGAGCUUGGACUCUGGGGGUUUUGCUGGCUCACAGUCGGCUCCUCUAAAAUGAAUCAGCUUACCAGUGUUUGGUGGGUAUCAUAGGUGUGAUAACUAUCUACGCUUGUGGUUUUUCCACCAGGUAACCUUCAGCAGUGGAGGUUCGCUAGAGCUCAUAGAUGUCUCUCCUCAGUGAGGACAGCCCUUUGAAUGUUUGAUCUCAAAUCAGGUAGGACUACCCGCUGAACUUAAGCAUAUCAAUAAGCGGAGGA
rnacentral:misc_RNA from 1 species